GACAAAAGUCCUAUCACCAGCUUUUUAAGAUAUAUGGAUGGACCUGGAUGAAUGGAAGAGGUGAUGCUUCAGUGAUGAAGACAAUUAACCUUUCCUACCACCUCUGGUUGGUUGAAAAGGAGGCUUCUUCUUAAGCAGCACCUCAACAGAGUGAAGCAAAGACUUUUCCAACCUGAGCUUAAAAAAAAAAAAAAAGAAGAAAAUGAAAAAAAAAAAUAAACCCAGAAAAAGCUUUAUAUUCUUUUUUUCCUGAAGCCUUUGAUCCUGACUCUCCAGCCGUGGGAACCAGGGGAAGUCAUCUCCCGUGAACUAAACCUGAUAUUUUGGACCAAAUCCCUCUUGGAACAGGUUGUAUGCUGCCCUUUUCAAAAUCAAGCUAUCAGAAGAUGCCCUUCAGCAGAAGUGUUAAGAG
rnacentral:lncRNA from 1 species